AAGAUGCUCAUUUCCUUUGGACUUAGCAAUCAACUCAAGCAAUCAAACAAAUAUUAUAUUCAAGCUCCUAGGACCUCCAAUUGGCUUGUCUCUAUUAACUUGGCUACCUAAGACAAUGGUCCUUCUUACUAUCUCAAGAUGGAAUCCCUAUCACACAAGAACAAACAUCAAAAAGUUCACAACACAAUAAGAGGAAUGGACAAAGAAUG
rnacentral:lncRNA from 1 species